CUGCAACCAAUUUCGUCAACCGUCUUCCAUUCCCCAUAGGGGCCGGUAUGCAGUGGCUACAGACAGCAGCCUCCUUGAUAGUGGAUGUGGCCUAUUGUUUAUACGGGUUGCUCUAAUGGACCUGGGAGACAACC
rnacentral:snoRNA from 1 species